GCGCCGCUCAGUGAGGAAAUAACUGAACGCUUUCAGACCGUUUUUCCCCACAAGUAAUGUACUGUAUCCAACGUGUUCCUCGGCUGGCUGGGAGCGGGCGGUGACAGUUCGAUUAUUUUCGUGAAUACAGUAUGGCACUUUUUGACAGGAUACGGAAGGAAUGGUUUAUCAUCGGGAUUGUGCUUGUUAUCACCUUUGCGAAACUAGAACCUUCAGUUGGAGUGAAAGGGGGUCCAUUGAAGCCGGAGAUCACCAUCACAUAUAUUGCAGUGUCUGCUAUAUUCUUUAACAGUGGGAUAUCAUUAAAGACGGAGGAGCUGACCAGCGCUUUAAUGCACGUGAAACUCCAUCUCUUUGUGCAGUUUUUCACGCUCGCCUUCUUCCCAGUUGCAAUAUGGGUCAUCCUGAAGCUUCUUGCCUUAACCUCCAUUAAUCAGUGGCUGUUAAGAGGGUUACAGACGGUUGGCUGUAUGCCCCCACCUGUAUCAUCAGCCGUCAUUUUGACCAAAGCUGCAGGAGGAAAUGAGGCAGCUGCCAUAUUUAAUUCAGCCUUUGGAAGUUUUCUGGGUAUAAUCGUCACCCCGCUGCUGCUGCUGACAUUUCUGGGCUCCUCCUCCUCAGUGCCCUUCAGCUCCAUCUUCUCUCAGCUCUUCAUGACGGUGGUGGUGCCUCUCAUCGUGGGCCAGGUGUGCCGCCACUUUGUGAAGGACUGGCUGGAGCGGAGGAAGCCGCCGUUCGGCGCGGUCAGUAGCUGUGUUCUGCUCAUGAUCAUCUACACCACCUUCUGCGACACCUUCUCCAGCCCCGGGAUACACCUGGACCGCCUCAGCCUGGUGCUGGUGGUGUUCAUCAGUGAGUGCUCCUUACUUCUUCUCCAUCCAGCUGGGCUUCAUGCUGCUAACAUUCCUCUUCACCACGCGGAAGAAGUCAGGGUUCACACCUGCGGACACUGUGGCGGUCAUGUUCUGCUCCACACACAAGUCCCUGACGUUAGGUAUCCCCAUGCUGAAGAUCGUGUUUGAGGGAUAUGAGCACCUGUCACUCAUCUCUGUGCCGCUGCUGAUAUACCACCCGGCCCAGAUCCUGCUGGGCAGCAUUCUCCUGCCCACCAUCAAGUCCUGGAUGAUCACCAGACAGAGGUCAAGUAUCUUAAUGCGAUAGGGAAGUAUGUCAACCCUGCCAGGAAGGCUUCGUGAGUAAAAUGUGCUCUAUAAGUUUUUUGCUAAUCUGCCAUCCCAAAUUAAUUUGUGACUUAAUUUGCGUAAUUGCAUAUUCAGCCAAUGACAUGGUUUCUCAAGAUAAUUUAUUUGAUUACUCUAAGGUGGUGGGGCUUCUGGGGUUGGAAGAUUUGUAGAGUGUUUGAAAUACUCGUGGGAGAUGUUCUUCUGGCCUUUUUUGCCUUUAAGUUGGAUCCAAAGUCGCAUUUUCCACUGCAGAGUUUACCUUAGGGCUUUUGGUCUGGGUGCUGAGAGGGUUCAGUGAGUUUUUUAAGCACAAAUUCACUGCCAUUUUCCAUAAAAGCCUACUUCCAUUUGUACUUGCUCUACAUGCAUUACAGUUGAAAAUAAAUCAACUCAGACCCAUAUCUCUUGAAUAUUUAACCUUCUCUAAAACUAUGUAUGAAAUUACCUAAAUAUACAUACAUAACUUUUAGAUAGUUUGAGUAUUUAGACUAGAUCUUUGAAGACUUCUGUGAAUGUGUGACCUGGCGCCUGACUGAACAGCCCUAGGGGAAACACUGCAGUGGACUUCGUGAGGCUGGGCUCAGUGACCCGACCCAGAGUUCUGUACCGAGCCUUUUGACGCAGUGCUCAGGUGAUGGAUGUCUUCAGGCAGGUUGGUGCGGUGGAGGAUGUGGGCAUAUUUACCGCUUGGCAGACGCCUCUGUGUUCAGUCUUUGGAGCUGUUGACUGAACCCCAGUCUGUGGGGCCCCUGACUGAACCCCAGUCUGUGGGGCCCCUGACUGAACCCCAGUCUGUGGGGCCCCUGACUGAACCCCAGUGUGCAUGGGGGGCACAGGGGACGGCGGUCUGGUCUGUUGGGAUGUGAUGCCCUGAUAAUGUCAGCCGGGGGGGGCUGGGGGGCG